rnacentral:rRNA from 1 species
GCUUCUAUGACGUUAGCGGCGGACGGGUGAGUAACACGUGGGCAACCUGCCUGUAAGACUGGGAUAACUUCGGGAAACCGAAGCUAAUACCGGAUAGGAUCUUCUCCUUCAUGGGAGAUGAUUGAAAGAUGGUUUCGGCUAUCACUUACAGAUGGGCCCGCGGUGCAUUAGCUAGUUGGUGAGGUAACGGCUCACCAAGGCAACGAUGCAUAGCCGACCUGAGAGGGUGAUCGGCCACACUGGGACUGAGACACGGCCCAGACUCCUACGGGAGGCAGCAGUAGGGAAUCUUCCGCAAUGGACGAAAGUCUGACGGAGCAACGCCGCGUGAGUGAUGAAGGCUUUCGGGUCGUAAAACUCUGUUGUUAGGGAAGAACAAGUACGAGAGUAACUGCUCGUACCUUGACGGUACCUAACCAGAAAGCCACGGCUAACUACGUGCCAGCAGCCGCGGUAAUACGUAGGU